AACGAACGCUGGCGGCAGGCCUAACACAUGCAAGUCGAACGCCGUAGCAAUACGGAGUGGCAGACGGGUGCGUAACACGUGGGAACAUACCCUUUGGUUCGGAAUAACUCAGGGAAACUUGAGCUAAUACCGGAUAAGUCCGCGAGGAGAAAGAUUCAUCGCCGAAGGAUUGGCCCGCGUCUGAUUAGCUAGUUGGUGAGGUAACGGCUCACCAAGGCGACGAUCAGUAGCGGUCUGAGAGGAUGAUCAGCCACACUGGGACUGAGACACGGCCCAGACUCCUACGGGAGGCAGCAGGUGGGGAAUAUUGGACAAUGGGCGCAAGCCUGAUCCAGCCAUGCCGCGUGAGUGAUGAAGGCCUUAGGGUUGUAAAGCUC
rnacentral:rRNA from 1 species